GACGGAGGGGGCAAGCGUUGUCCGGACUCACUGGGCGUAAAGGGUGCGCAGGCGGCCUGCUGCGUCGGCGCUGAAAGCGCCCGGCUUAACCGGGCGAGGCGUGCCGAUACGAGUAGGCUUGAGGCUCGGAGAGGGUGGGGGAACUCCUGGUGUAGUGGUGAAAUGCGUAGAGAUCAGGAAGAACACCCGUGGCGCAAGCGCCCACCUGGCCGAGUGCUGACGCUGAGGCACGAGAGCGUGGGGAGCGAACCGG
rnacentral:rRNA from 1 species